rnacentral:rRNA from 1 species
AAAGCUCAAAUUUAGAAUCUGGCGGCUUUGCCGUCCGAGUUGUAAAUUAGAGAAGUGUUUUCCAUGUGGGCUCCGUCGCAUAAGUCUCUUGGAAAAGAGCAUCAGAGAGGGUGACAAUCCCGUCUUUGUGACUGGCGUCUGCUGUUGUGAUACACUCUCAACGAGUCGAGUUGUUUGGGAAUGCAGCUCCAAAUGGGUGGUAAAUUCCAUCUAAAGCUAAAUAUUGGCGAGAAACCGAUAGCGAA